rnacentral:rRNA from 1 species
CCUACGGGUGGCAGCAGUGGGGAAUAUUGCACAAUGGGGGAAACCCUGAUGCAGCGACGCCGCGUGAGUGAAGAAGUAUUUCGGUAUGUAAAGCUCUAUCAGCAGGGAAGAUAAUGACGGUACCUGACUAAGAAGCCCCGGCUAAAUACGUGCCAGCAGCCGCGGUAAUACGUAGGGGGCAAGCGCUAACCGGAUUGACUGGGGGGAAAGGGAGCGUAGGUGGCAGGGCAAGUCAGAGGUGAAAAGCCGGGGCUUAACCCCGGGAGUGCAUUUGAAACUGUCCAGCUGGAGUGCAGGAGAGGUGAGCGGAAUUCCUGGUGUAGCGGUGAAAUGCAUAGAUAGUAGGAGGAACACCAGUGGCGAAGGCGGCUUACUGGACUGUAACUGACGCUGAGGCUCGAAAGCGUGGGGAGCAAACAGGAUUAGAUACCCGGGUAGUC